UACGUAGGUGACCAGCGUUGUCCGGAUUUACUGGGCGUAAAGAGCGCGCAGGCGGUCGUUCAAGUCGAGUGUGAAAGCCCACGGCUCAACCGUGGAGGGUCAUUGGAAACUGGGGAACUUGAGUGCAGAAGAGAAAAGCGGAAUUCCACGUGUAGCGGUGAAAUGCGUAGAGAUGUGGAGGAACACCAGUGGCGAAGGCGGCUUUUUGGUCUGUAACUGACGCUGAGGCGCGAAAGCGUGGGGAGCAAACAGG
rnacentral:rRNA from 1 species